AGUGCAGCUGUGUUGUCAGGCCCAGAGGCUGAUGACAGAGAAGAGUGAGAAAGGACCCACAGUCAGAGGAAAGGGGGAGAACUACGGCGGAUUCUACAAACAUCGAACCGUCUAACCAUUUCACAAUGCACCAGCAACAGCAGCCCCCACGUGGCCACAAUGGACCCCGCAGGCCUGGCUCUGCAUCCCGCCUGCCCCAGUGUCUGGGGUCCAUCGGAUCAGCACCGCCUACCACAAGAAGGCAGUCAUCUGCCAGCCAGGAGGGGAGGCCUCGCCAGAAACCAAUCCUGCCAACACCCUGAUCUUGAACCUCCAGCCUCCAGGACUGAGAAGGAAAUGUCUGCUGUGGCAGCACCCGGCUGUGCUGCUUUGCUCCAGCCUCCCCAGCAGACCAGUGUCCAGUCAUUCAAGGGAAUGAGCCUGUCAGGAGAGGCUGGGCUUUGUGGUGAGCCAGCGGGGAAACCUCUCGGGGAGAGAGGAGGGCAAAGAGAGGCCAGCCUGGUGGGGAAGAAGAGGUGGGAGUGAAGAAGACACAGAGGACGCACACUGAGUGAGGAGGACCAAGGCACAAGGCCCUUUUCACCAGGCUCCUGUGCUCUCAGGGGAGACAGGGAGGGUGGCAUUGGCUAGAAGAGCCUGCCCAGCCCUGGAGAAAGGAGCUCACAGCAGGGCUGUGGAGAGGGCAGGGACUGGGUGGGGGGUGCUACCAUGUGACGUGCUAGGAAUGAAUCUGCAUUAGCGUCCGUCUGGCUGGAUAGAGACGCUUCAGCACGUGUGGGGCUGCACACAGGCACGCAGGGUGGAGGCCCCUCCACUCUGCAGCCCCACAGCCAGCACCUGCCUUCUCACCUCUUCUAGUCCAGGGCCCGAGAAGCCAUUAGCAACCAUUCUCACCCCAGUGUGAAUCUGCAGCUCUGCCGCUCCAGUGUGAAGGAGGAGAAGGAGAGCAGGAAGGGGUGUCCACCACCAUGUGCCCACAGGAGCAAGGCUCCCGCCCUCCCAGGGUAUGAACUUGAAUCCCUGUGACCUCUGUGGGUGCAUCUGCACAGAAUGCAGGUCCCCUGUCCCCCAGCCACCGCACCACACCAGCCUAGCCAUCCUUGCGAGCCGCCACAGGCCUGGGACCCCCCAGGGCACUGGAACACAGCAGCCCCAGUGAGCACCUGGAGCCUGAGCCUGGACCGGAGGCCCCAGACAGCUUGGAACAGGCCAGCCCCCAGGAGGGGCGGCUCUUCUACAGCCAGCCCGGCACUGCCCACCCAACCUCCCAGAUCCACAGGCAGCUGCUCCAGAGGGAGUGGGGGCUCCAGGGACUUCUCCCAAGCGAGAUGAAAACACAGGUUUUUGCGUGAAAGCUCCUUCUUAAAUAUUGACAAGUUUAGAGCCCAUCUCAGAUCCCUGGCUAUGCUCCCUCAGCCCAACAGCCACAGACCCAAAAUUCAAAGUAGCCAUGCGCCCUGAGAGCCCAACCUGCCUGGCCACGCACAGGCCGGCCACAGUCCCAGGAGUGGGCGUGUGCCCCCACCACCACACGGCUGUGUCCCUCCCUUCCAUCCCCCACCCACAGGCAGAGCUGGACAGAUCAGCACCACGGAGAGAGACGAGCAUCGCCAGUCCCAGGCCCCCAGGCCGCCCUGCCCACCUGCCCCAUCCCUCCCGCACUGUCCCCUCAGAGCUGGGUCCUGGGCUGAGACUCCCCAAACUGUGACCUUCAAGGCUUCUCACAUAGUUCACCCCAGCCUCACGGCCUCCAGCCCUGCCGCUCACUGUCCCCACCACACUCUGCCUGGACCCCGACCCCUCCAGCUGCUGGGACAGGAAAUCAAGCCUCCGAAUGACCCUCCUGGUGGGACCCCUGAAGAGAAAGGCGUGUAAGGGGGACUCUGUGCACACCUGCAGAACCGCCCAUCCCUGGAGCCCGGCCCUGCAGUCACCGUCGAGAGGAGAGGCCUGGAGCACAGAGUGGAUCCUGGGGCAUGGGGACUUUGCCGUUGGCAGAACACGCACACUGGGGGGAAGGGCCCUGGCUCCAUCGUGCCCAGCAAGUACCUGGCCCAUAUCAGGGACAUAUGAGUAAAGAACAGACCACCUGAUCCAGUCCCUACUUGCCUGAGGACAGCAGCCCAGACCCCCAUGAAUGACGAAAGUCCUUCUCUGGACUGAGCUGAAACCUCCCUCCCUUAUCUCCCACCCAUGUCCCCUGUCCCCCUGGGAAAGUCUGCAGUAUCCAAGGGCAGCCCUGGGCUCCUUCAGCUCUCCAGGCCCCAUGGUGAAAGAUCUGCAGAGAGGCCAACCCUCCCUCGGGUCUGCUGUGCCAAGCAGGCAUAUGAGAGACCCCAGGCGUCUGCAACGCUGGCCCGAUGCCCAUCCAGUGAGCCAGCCCCGCACUGCUUCCAUCCAGGGAGUCUCUGGAUUUGGGCUCCUCAGGCAGCAGAGCACACAUGGAGAUGCAGAGACCCCAGAGAAGACCCCACAGGACUGGAGCCCGAGGCCAGGGGCUGUGAGGGGACCCCAGUGGGGAGACUGCAGCCACCCCAGCUCCACGGCGCAACUGAGCUUCAGACAGCACACGCCCGGGCCGCACGUGCUGGGCCUCCUGGCCUCAGCUUGCCUACCCUGUGAGGACAACCACGAAGUCCAUGACGUUCCAUCCAUUCCGCAGUUCCAGUUCCUGCCUUCUCCCCUUGUUCCUCCAGCGGGGGAUGGCAUCACGUGGGUGUGGUGAACCCUGGCCCUUGGGACUUCCCUGUGCCUUGCACAGAUCGAGCAGAUUGUGGUAGGUGGUCCCUUGGGAGUGUCAUCCUGCCUGAUGCAUCACCACCGAGGAGGCAACCGAAGUCAGAGACAGAGGACGCCGGCACUCCCCAAGAAUGAAGUCGGGCUUCAUUCCCAUCACCUAGGCUGCAGUACAGGGGCGUGAUCUCGGCUCACUGCAACCUCCACCUCCUGGACUCAAGCAACCCUCCCAUUCCAGCCUCCCAAGUAGCUAGGACUGCAGGCACACACCACAAUGCCAGGCUAAUUUUUGUUUGUUUGUUUGUUUUUGUUGAGACGGUGUUUCACCAUGUUGCCCAGGCUGGCCUUGAACUCCUGAGUUCAAGUGAUCUGCCCACCUUGGCCUCCCAAAGUGCUGGGAUUACAGGCACGAGCCACCACACUCAGCCUUCAUCAUCUAAUAAAAUCUAACCAAAUCCUU
rnacentral:antisense_RNA from 1 species